rnacentral:rRNA from 1 species
UACAGAGGGUGCGAGCGUUGUUCGGAAUCAUUGGGCGUAAAGCGCUUGUAGGCGGCUUGUUAAGUCGCGUGUGAAAUCCCUUGGCUCAACCAAGGAAGUGCGCGCGAAACUGGCGAGCUGGAGUGCCGGAGAGGGUCGCGGAAUUCCCGGUGUAGAGGUGAAAUUCGUAGAUAUCGGGAGGAACACCAGUGGCGAAGGCGGCGACCUGGACGAUGACUGACGCUGAGACGCGAAAGCGUGGGGAGCAAACAGG